rnacentral:rRNA from 1 species
GACGAACGCUGGCGGCGUGCUUAACACAUGCAAGUCGAACGGUAAGGCCCUUCGGGGUACACGAGUGGCGAACGGGUGAGUAACACGUGGGUGAUCUGCCCUGCACUUCGGGAUAAGCCUGGGAAACUGGGUCUAAUACCGGAUAGGACCACUGCCUGCAUGGGUGGUGGUGGAAAGCUUUUGCGGUGUGGGAUGGGCCCGCGGCCUAUCAGCUUGUUGGUGGGGUGAUGGCCUACCAAGGCGACGACGGGUAGCCGGCCUGAGAGGGUGACCGGCCACACUGGGACUGAGAUACGGCCCAGAGUCCGACGGGAGGCAGCAGUGGGGAAUAUUGCACAAUGGGCGCAAGCCUGAUGCAGCGACGCCGCGUGAGGGAUGACGGCCUUCGGGUUGUAAACCUCUUUCAGCACCGACGAAGCGCAAGUGACGGUAGGUGCAGAAGAAGGACCGGCCAACUACGUGCCAGCAGCCGCAGUAA